CCCCUGACCCAUGCAUGCCACGUGCAUGGGCAAUGUGGGACAGAAAGAGAUGCUUAAGAAACACAUAACACAAAUGACAGCACAUUAGACAGCACAAACAUUAGACAGGACAAACCGCGGCAAAGAAAUGGUGCCCCAAACCAAAAUUACAACCAAACCUUGGACUUUCAUCCAGGGUGGAACCAAGGUUCUCGCAAGUCUGCUUACCCUAUGGUUCAAUUACAAAUUCUGCGCAGAUCAAAUACAAAUUACAAAUUCUGCGCAGAUCAAAUCAAGCAACCCUCGGACUUUCAUCCAGGGCAGGACUUCAGGGUCUUCCCCAGAAGUCCGAAUUACAAAUACAAAUUCUGCGCAGAUCAAAUACAAAUCAUGGCACCAAACCAACAACACAGCAAGAGACAAAACAAGAAACAUAGAACAUUGAACAUAUAUAAAUUGCGAGCUCUAAUCAUCUUACCUCCAAGAUCGAAUCCACUCAGGUGAAGGGUGGUCGCAAAUCCCGGACGAGCCCCCAAAAUGUUAGACCCCCGAAAACUCAAGUAUCCGGGGUCUCAGGCCAGGUUCGCGGUCACCCCAAUCACCAGGCGGAUUCGAGAGCUUGCUGCAAACUGCACGAGGCUUUAUUGUAAUUUAACGAGCUAACCCCAUGUUAGCUCGGGUCUUUCAACCACCCACCAUGGCGGACAGCUAGAAAAGACGGCUCCUUGGGUCUCCCAAAAGAUCUUAUAGGGCAGCGUAAGGGGAGUGUCUAGGGGUACGCACAGGCUCACGAUUGGUGUGCCUCCAGGCUUGGAGGGCUUGCCCUGUGUUGAUUGGUCAACUGGUUGUUAUGGCCCAUAGGCCCUCCCAGGGUGGUUGCUAUGCUCUCUACGUCAUUGUCGUGCGCUUGUCCGUAAAGCACACCCAGGGUCGUAAAGCAUAGCGCCACCAGCUAACUUCCGAUUGGUUCCUUGUCACGAGACAGGCAUCUGACCUCUACGUGACCAAGGCAGGUUUAUGGCAAGCAUGUGUUCGGCUGUUAUGGCUGCCAAAAGGGAAGCCGGUUCCUUCAAUGUAAGCAUUAGCCUUUGCAGUCACUGUUUUGGAUCCUGAGGCUUGCAUCUUAGGUAUGAUGGGUUUGGGAUAUACUGGCUUUAAACAUGGCAGUUUGGUACAUUAAUCAUGUUAAGCAGAACCUGGAAGGGCACCCACUCCUCCCCCACACGUCCCCAUAGGUGCCAAGAUUCUCAUGAGAGAGGUACUGUUGUAUAACUGUUCCUGGGAAGUUAAAACAUUCCAUAUUGGAGGGACUUUCAUUAGCACACAGGAUUUAAGAGGAAGCCAAACAACGGGUGUUCUAGAGGGAAGUUAAGACAGGAUGUUAAAAGGGAGAUGAAGUGAAACAUUGCAUACUGCAGGAAGUUCAAGAGUAAACAACUCCAUAUUCUUCAGGAAGUCACUGAAACUAACAAGAUUCACUGGAGCCCUCCCUCCACAAGCAUACACACAAGCUCUAAGUGUUAUUCUUUUGUUUAAAAAGAAGAAAAGAGAAAUAUUGAGACAGACAUAUUGACUAUAAGUUUAUUAUAUGGCCCGGUAGAAUGGGGAGACUAAGAAGAGGAACAGGGUAAUGGCUGACCGCCAUGGCCGGUCGCCAUAGAGAGACAGAGCGGGGAAACAGAGAGAGGGGACAGAGAGCAGGAACAGGGGGAGAGAGAGAGAGAGCGCGAGCGUAAAGGGGCAGAGAGAGAGAGAGAAAGGUGCAGGGGCCUAUCUUUUAAAGGGGUCCUCUGCACCUGUGUGCAGACUUCUUUCCCAUGGAACCUUGGGCUGACCAGGGUAUUGCCUGAGUGGAUUCCACCAGGUAACAGGGGCAGGCCAGCAUAAUGCCUGAACCUUUCAUUCCCACCUCUACUUAUUAUUAAAAAAGGUGGGGUGUUUAGACAUGGCAGGUUAAGGAAUAAGGGCGUCGAAUUCUUAAGACUGCUUCCUGCUGACGUGGGGGCGUUGACCAUCUUUGGGGGACCCGAGAAGGUUGGGGUGCUGCCACGUCCUGGGGAAGCUGGUUGUUUCAUUGUAGUCCAGGCUGUAUGCAACUCCCUGGCGCCUCUUAGACCUGGCAAGAUGUUGACAGAGCAGAAGACAAGGUUGAGAUUAGAAAAAAAAAUUUUCUUAGGUCCUGUCACUUGAGGGGAAGAUUGUAAGAUGAGGGAGGGGUUCCCGAGGAGUCCCAAGAUGAGAGAAGGGAAUUUGGGACUGGGGAAAGGUUGAAUAUUACCUGGAGUGAAUCUGACCUGUUUGGAUCUGAUUCGGCUCCCUGGAACUUACAAGAAUCCUUAGAGUUUGUGGAAACAUAAGUAUUAGACACAUUAGUAGCAUAUUCAUGUUAGAAGCAACUUGGCUAAAAGCAUUACCAUUUUAAAACAGACAGAUUUUUU
ensembl:lncRNA